rnacentral:misc_RNA from 1 species
GGAAGAAAACCAAUAGAAGAAGCCUAUGGAGAAGGAAAAGACUUGGUCUACUGGACCUCAACUCAUCUAAAUGACAAGGAAAGCAUUAACAAAGUUCUUGAUCAAAAGGUGGUAUCUGACCUUGUUCAAGAUGAAAUGAUCAAAGUGUUGAGAAUUGCCACACUUUGUACUACUAAGCUUCCUAAUUUGCGUCCCAGCAUGAAAGAGGUUGUCAAUAUGCUCGUCGAUGCUGAACCCUUGACGUUUAGAUCUUCAAGCAAAUCUGAGAAAAAAGGGAACAAUUUUUC